CAACUCAGGUUUGGUUGGAACUUACACACACAGCAACUCAGGUUUGGUUGGAACUUACACACACAGCAACUCAGGUUUGGUUGGAACUUACACACACAGCAACUCAGGUUUGGUUGGAACUUACACACACAGCAACUCAGGUUUGGUUGGAACUUACACACACAGCAACUCAGAUUUGGU